rnacentral:ncRNA from 2 species
AUUUGAUUUGCUCAUUAAGGUGUCGCGUGAUUCAUGCACGCGAUUAAACGGGAAACAGGUGCUGACACCCGUCAAAAGCCUGUGCUGCCCCCGCAACGGUAAGAUGUUGUCAUCGCAAACGCCACUGUGUUACUAAAACAUGGGAAGGCGCGAUGAACUGCGCUCUGCGCCGCAUCAAGCCCGGAUACCGGCCUAAGUGAGACUACUGUU